rnacentral:rRNA from 1 species
GGGUUGUGAGGUUAAGCGACUAAGCGUACACGGUGGAUGCCCUGGCAGUCAGAGGCGAUGAAGGACGUGCUAAUCUGCGAAAAGCGUCGGUAAGGUGAUAUGAACCGUUAUAACCGGCGAUGUCCGAAUGGGGAAACCCAGUGCAAUUCGUUGCACUAUCGUUAACUGAAUACAUAGGUUAACGAGGCGAACCGGGGGAACUGAAACAUCUAAGUACCCCGAGGAAAAGAAAUCAACCGAGAUUCCCCCAGUAGCGGCGAGCGAACGGGGAGCAGCCCAGAGUCUGAAUCAGCUUGUGUGUUAGUGGAACGGUCUGGAAAGUCCGACGGUACAGGGUGAUAGUCCCGUACACCAAAAUGCACAGGCUGUGAACUCGAAGAGUAGGGCGGGACACGUGGUAUCCUGUCUGAAUAUGGGGGGACCAUCCUCCAAGGCUAAAUACUCCUGACUGACCGAUAGUGAACCAGUACCGUGAGGGAAAGGCGAAAAGAACCCCGGCGAGGGGAGUGAAAAAGAACCUGAAACCGUGUACGUACAAGCAGUGGGAGCACCUUCGGGUGUGACUGCGUACCUUUUGUAUAAUGGGUCAGCGACUUAUAUUCUGUAGCAAGGUUAACCGUAUAGGGGAGCCGCAGGGAAACCGAGUCUUAACUGGGCGUUAAGUUGCAGGGUAUAGACCCGAAACCCGGUGAUCUAGCCAUGGGCAGGUUGAAGGUUGGGUAACACUAACUGGAGGACCGAACCGACUAAUGUUGAAAAAUUAGCGGAUGACUUGUGGCUGGGGGUGAAAGGCCAAUCAAACCGGGAGAUAGCUGGUUCUCCCCGAAAGCUAUUUAGGUAGCGCCUCGUGAACUCAUCUUCGGGGGUAGAGCACUGUUUCGGCUAGGGGGUCAUCCCGACUUACCAACCCGAUGCAAACUACGAAUACCGAAGAAUGUUAUCACGGGAGACACACGGCGGGUGCUAACGUCCGUCGUGAAGAGGGAAACAACCCAGACCGCCAGCUAAGGUCCCAAAGUCAUGGUUAAGUGGGAAACGAUGUGGGAAGGCACAGACAGCCAGGAUGUUGGCUUAGAAGCAGCCAUCAUUUAAAGAAAGCGUAAUAGCUCACUGGUCGAGUCGGCCUGCGCGGAAGAUGUAACGGGGCUAAACCAUGCACCGAAGCUGCGGCAGCGACACUAUGUGUUGUUGGGUAGGGGAGCGUUCUGUAAGCCUGCGAAGGUGUGCUGUGAGGCAUGCUGGAGGUAUCAGAAGUGCGAAUGCUGACAUAAGUAACGAUAAAGCGGGUGAAAAGCCCGCUCGCCGGAAGACCAAGGGUUCCUGUCCAACGUUAAUCGGGGCAGGGUGAGUCGACCCCUAAGGCGAGGCCGAAAGGCGUAGUCGAUGGGAAACAGGUUAAUAUUCCUGUACUUGGUGUUACUGCGAAGGGGGGACGGAGAAGGCUAUGUUAGCCGGGCGACGGUUGUCCCGGUUUAAGCAUGUAGGCUGGUUAUCCAGGCAAAUCCGGAUAAUCAAGGCUGAGGUGUGAUGACGAGGCACUACGGUGCUGAAGUAACAAAUGCCCUGCUUCCAGGAAAAGCCUCUAAGCAUCAGGUAACAUCAAAUCGUACCCCAAACCGACACAGGUGGUCAGGUAGAGAAUACCAAGGCGCUUGAGAGAACUCGGGUGAAGGAACUAGGCAAAAUGGUGCCGUAACUUCGGGAGAAGGCACGCUGGUGUGUAGGUGAAGUCCCUGCGGAUGGAGCUGAGACCAGUCGAAGAUACCAGCUGGCUGCAACUGUUUAUUAAAAACACAGCACUGUGCAAACACGAAAGUGGACGUAUACGGUGUGACGCCUGCCCGGUGCCGGAAGGUUAAUUGAUGGGGUUAUCCGUAAGGAGAAGCUCUUGAUCGAAGCCCCGGUAAACGGCGGCCGUAACUAUAACGGUCCUAAGGUAGCGAAAUUCCUUGUCGGGUAAGUUCCGACCUGCACGAAUGGCGUAAUGAUGGCCAGGCUGUCUCCACCCGAGACUCAGUGAAAUUGAACUCGCUGUGAAGAUGCAGUGUACCCGCGGCAAGACGGAAAGACCCCGUGAACCUUUACUAUAGCUUGACACUGAACAUUGAGCCUUGAUGUGUAGGAUAGGUGGGAGGCUUUGAAGCGUGGACGCCAGUCUGCGUGGAGCCAACCUUGAAAUACCACCCUUUAAUGUUUGAUGUUCUAACGUUGGCCCCUGACCGGGGUUGCGGACAGUGUCUGGUGGGUAGUUUGACUGGGGCGGUCUCCUCCCAAAGCGUAACGGAGGAGCACGAAGGUUAGCUAAUCCUGGUCGGACAUCAGGAGGUUAGUGCAAUGGCAUAAGCUAGCUUGACUGCGAGCGUGACGGCGCGAGCAGGUGCGAAAGCAGGUCAUAGUGAUCCGGUGGUUCUGAAUGGAAGGGCCAUCGCUCAACGGAUAAAAGGUACUCCGGGGAUAACAGGCUGAUACCGCCCAAGAGUUCAUAUCGACGGCGGUGUUUGGCACCUCGAUGUCGGCUCAUCACAUCCUGGGGCUGAAGUAGGUCCCAAGGGUAUGGCUGUUCGCCAUUUAAAGUGGUACGCGAGCUGGGUUUAGAACGUCGUGAGACAGUUCGGUCCCUAUCUGCCGUGGGCGCUGGAGAAUUGAGGGGGGCUGCUCCUAGUACGAGAGGACCGGAGUGGACGCAUCACUGGUGUUCGGGUUGUCAUGCCAAUGGCACUGCCCGGUAGCUAAAUGCGGAAGAGAUAAGUGCUGAAAGCAUCUAAGCACGAAACUUGCCCCGAGAUGAGUUCUCCCUGAGACUUUAAGUCUCCUGAAGGAACGUUAAAGACGAUGAC